rnacentral:lncRNA from 1 species
UAAUUGCUUAUCCUUUUCCCUUCAAGGGUCAUGGAUAGACGUUACUCUCGUUCCAGCAGAAGACGUGCUUAAUUUCAUGUCAUGGGCACGAGUAGCUAACUCUUCAAAGGAUUUUGUCUUAAUGCAUUGAAAGAUAUAGAGAAGCUCUCAAUGCAUUCCUUAGAUGCACAUCUCUACUGCAAAAGUUUUGUUGAGCCUGUUUUUG